rnacentral:rRNA from 1 species
AUGAAUGAGGAAGUCGUACAGUGGCGUUUCACGGGUUUUUAUGGUCAUCCGAACUGGAGCGAUCGCAAUUUAUCUUGGGAGGAUAUUCGUAAUUUGCAUCAUAAGGGUAAUCAUCCAUGGGUGGUUCUAGGAGAUUUUAAUGAGAUUUUAUAUUCCUCGGAGAAAGAGGGGGGCAAUGUGAGACCAAAUGGAAUGAUGAAGGAUUUUCAUGAUUGUCUAGCAGAAUGUGGCUUGGAUGAUAUGGGGUUCAUAGGCGACCCCUUUACAUGGAGGAGAGGUGAGAUUAGGGAACGUCUUGACCGUGCAAUAUGUAAUGUACAAUGGGCGCAUAAAUUUCCUCGGGCGGCUGUGAUUAAUGAAAACCAUGUACAUUCUGACCACCGGCCGUUAGUU